rnacentral:rRNA from 1 species
UACGUAGGGGGCUAGCGUUGUCCGGAUUUAUUGGGCGUAAAGAGCGUGAAGGCGGCCAGGUAGGUCCGUUGUGAAAACUCGAGGCUCAACCUCGAGACGUCGGCGGAAACCCUCUGGCUAGAGUCCGGAAGAGGAGAGUGGAAUUCCAGGUGUAGCGGUGAAAUGCGUAGAUAUCUGGAGGAACACCGGUGGCGAAGGCGACAUCCUGGACCGGUAUUGACGCUGAGGCGCGAAAGCCAGGGGAGCAAACGGG